AAGAAUCCUAAGGCACAGAGAGGUUAAGCAAUUUGCUCAAGGUCACACAGCGAGUAGUAGCAGCAUAGGAAUUCGCACAUGGGCAGCCUGGCUGUGCACUCUGUCCUGAGCUCAGCCAGGCACCUGCGGAGAGACCCUCACACUUCCCCAUCUGCCUAUACCAGUGGUUCUCAACCAAGAGCAAUUUUGCCCCCCGAAGGACAUGUGGUGAUGUCUAGAGACGUUUUUGAUUGUUGUGACGAGAAGGCUGCUACUGGCACCUAGGGUCUUUACAUGUGGAAGAGGGAGGCAGAACAUUGAUGCCCUGGGAGAAAGUCUCCACCAGCUAUUGAAGACGGGAGGGAGCCAGAAGCCCAGAAAAGCCGGCGACCCCUAGAAGCUGGAAAAGGCAAGAGAACCGGUUCUCUCCUAGAGCCUCCAGAAAAGGAACUUGG